GGAAUAUUGCACAAUGGGGGAAACCCUGAUGCAGCAACGCCGUGUGAGUGAAGAAGUCAUUCGUGAUGUAAAGCUCUAUCAGCAGGGAAGAAAAUGACGGUACCUGACUAAGAAGCCCCGGCUAACUACGUGCCAGCAGCCGCGGUAAUACGUAGGGGGCAAGCGUUAUCCGGAUUUACUGGGUGUAAAGGGAGCGUAGACGGCGACGCAAGUCUGAAGUGGAAUGCCAGUGCUAAACACUGGAACUGCUUUGGAAACUGUGUAGCUAGAGUGCAGGAGAGGUAAGUGGAAUUCCUAGUGUAGCGGUGAAAUGCGUAGAUAUUAGGAGGAACACCAGUGGCGAAGGCGGCUUACUGGACUGUAACUGACGUUGAGGCUCGAAGGCGUGGGGAGCAAACA
rnacentral:rRNA from 1 species